rnacentral:rRNA from 1 species
UAUUAUGAGAGUUUGAUCCUGGCUCAGGACGAACGCUGGCGGCGUGCCUAAUACAUGCAAGUCGAACGCUUCUUUCCUCCCGAGUGCUUGCACUCAAUUGGAAAGAGGAGUGGCGGACGGGUGAGUAACACGUGGGUAACCUACCCAUCAGAGGGGGAUAACACUUGGAAACAGGUGCUAAUACCGCAUAACAGUUUAUGCCGCAUGGCAUAAGAGUGAAAGGCGCUUUCGGGUGUCGCUGAUGGAUGGACCCGCGGUGCAUUAGCUAGUUGGUGAGGUAACGGCUCACCAAGGCCACGAUGCAUAGCCGACCUGAGAGGGUGAUCGGCCACACUGGGACUGAGACACGGCCCAGACUCCUACGGGAGGCAGCAGUAGGGAAUCUUCGGCAAUGGACGAAAGUCUGACCGAGCAACGCCGCGUGAGUGAAGAAGGUUUUCGGAUCGUAAAACUCUGUUGUUAGAGAAGAACAAGGACGUUAGUAACUGAACGUCCCCUGACGGUAUCUAACCAGAAAGCCACGGCUAACUACGUGCCAGCAGCCGCGGUAAUACGUAGGUGGCAAGCGUUGUCCGGAUUUAUUGGGCGUAAAGCGAGCGCAGGCGGUUUCUUAAGUCUGAUGUGAAAGCCCCCGGCUCAACCGGGGAGGGUCAUUGGAAACUGGGAGACUUGAGUGCAGAAGAGGAGAGUGGAAUUCCAUGUGUAGCGGUGAAAUGCGUAGAUAUAUGGAGGAACACCAGUGGCGAAGGCGGCUCUCUGGUCUGUAACUGACGCUGAGGCUCGAAAGCGUGGGGAGCAAACAGGAUUAGAUACCCUGGUAGUCCACGCCGUAAACGAUGAGUGCUAGGUGUUGGGUCCUUUCCGGGACUCAGUGCCGCAGCUAACGCAUUAAGCACUCCGCCUGGGGAGUACGACCGCAAGGUUGAAACUCAAAGGAAUUGACGGGGGCCCGCACAAGCGGUGGAGC